rnacentral:rRNA from 1 species
GAUGAACGCUAGCGGCGGGCUUAAUACAUGCAAGUCAAGGGGUAGCAAUACACCGGCGUACGGGUGCGUAACGCGUAUGGAACCUGCCCUUAUCUGGGGGAUAACUCGGGGAAACUCGAGCUAAUACCGCAUAAGAUAGUAGAGAGGCAUCUCUUAGCUAUUAAAGAUUUAUCGGAUAAGGAUGGUCAUGCGUAAGAUUAGAUAGUUGGCGAGGUAACGGCUCACCAAGUCUACGAUCUUUAGGGGCUCUGUGAGGAGAAUCCCCCACACUGGCACUGAGAUACGGGCCAGACUCCUACGGGAGGCAGCAGUAGGGAAUAUUGGGCAAUGGGCGGAAGCCUGACCCAGCCACGCCGCGUGCAGGAAGACGGCCCUCUGGGUUGUAAACUGCUUUUAACUGGGAAGAAAGUAGUCCUUGCGAGGAAAGUUGACGGUACCAGUUGAAUAAGCCACGGCUAACUACGUGCCAGCCGCCGCUGUAAUAC